rnacentral:misc_RNA from 1 species
GAUGAAGAACGUAGCGAAAUGCGAUAAGUAAUGUGAAUUGCAGAAUUCAGUGAAUCAUCGAAUCUUUGAACGCACAUUGCGCCCCUUGGUAUUCCGGGGGGCAUGCCUGUUCGAGCGUCAUUUCAACCCUCAAGCUCAGCUUGGUAUUGAGUCCAUGUCAGUAAUGGCAGGCUCUAAAAUCAGUGGCGGCGCCGCUGGGUCCUGAACGUAGUAAUAUCUCUCGUUACAGGUUCUCGGUGUGCUUCUGCCAAAACCCAAAUUGUCUAUGGUUGACCUCGGAUCAGGUAGGGAUACCCGCUGAACUUAAGCAUAUCAAUAAGCGGAGGA